rnacentral:rRNA from 1 species
GUGCCAGCCGCCGCGGUAAUACCGGCAGCCCGAGUGAUGGCCGAUCUUAUUGGGCCUAAAGCGUCCGUAGCUGGCUGCGCAAGUCCGUCGGGAAAUCCACUCGCCCAACGAGUGGGCGUCCGACGGAAACUGCACAGCUUGGGACCGGAAGGCUCGAAGGGUACGUUCGGGGUAGGAGUGAAAUCCUGUAAUCCUGAACGGACUACCGAUGGCGAAAGCACCUCGAGAGAACGGAUCCGACAGUGAGGAACGAAAGCUGGGGUCUCGAACCGGAUUAGAAACCCGGGUAGUCC